CUAAUUCUUUUACAUUUUUCCCUCUAAAAAUUUUAGAGUAAGUUUUCUUUUAACAAUCCUAAAAUUUUAUUCCCUUCGUAUCUUAAACCCAUCUGCUUAAACCCAAUAUUUUCGUCUAAUUUCUGAUUCAAUUUCUCCCUUCCACUGAACCCUAAAAUCAGUUCCCCCCUUAAUUCCAUCCGCAAAAUCAGUUCCCCCUUCAUUCCAUCCGCUUUCUCCCUCGCAGAUUCGCAGUCGGUGGACGAAGCUGCAACGGGGGUUCUGCGGACCGGCAGACAACGGAGCUCAUAACGUCACGGAGGUCUUUGUAGAUAGCUUUGGCUCUGUCCUAAUAUGGUCCAUUCUCUAAAAAAUUCAUAAAAAGGUAUGAAUGAUAAAAAUUAAAGCAUGUUAUUACUGAGUAUGAAUUUAUGAUAAUUGAUAUGGAGUGUUUACAAGAGGA